UCAGAUUCCUCGGGGUGCUCCCGGCCUGGUUUUCCGAAACCGACCCGGAUGCUGAGAUAAUACCCGUAGAACCUGAACAGGGUAAUGCCUGCGCAGGGAAGGUGGUUCUAAAUUCU
rnacentral:ncRNA from 1 species